GAGGGAAGCUUCAGCGCCCUGAAGGUACCAGACCUCAUUUGAUCUUGGAAGCUAAGAAGGGUCAGCCCUGAUCAUUACUUGGAUGGAAGCCUGCCAAUGAAUCCCAGGUGUUUUAGGUU
rnacentral:rRNA from 11 species